UUUUUUCAUAAUACAGUCCCUUUAGAGAAUUACUUACUUUAAACAAGUUCAUUUUGCUGAAAAGUCUCUCAUAAGUUUGUCUUAUUUCCAGUACUAAGAUAUUUGCACUUGAAACUAGACAAGCUUUUGUGUUCAGAAUGAUUCUACUGGAUCUGCAGUGUGUAACAGGACGGCUUAGAACAGAAUUUUUACACAAACUUGACAAGAUUACUCACCAAACGAUGCACUUCAGCUCUCACACUUUGAUCUCUAUGUCACUCGGUCCUUUAGUCUUUAUUGUAUUUUUUUUUUUUUUUUUUUGGCCCUCCUUUUUUUUUUAAAAAAGGGCAGUCGGCGGGCCAGAUGGAUCAGCAUCUCUCAUCUCUAUUUGGUGUGUUUUUUUUCCUCCCCUGCUACCCUCACAUGUGGGUGGAGGAGAUUGUGUGCGCUUUCAUAUCCACGGGCGGACAUGUGAGUAAUCCCAGGAUGCAAACAUACACGUGUGUGUGUGUGCGUGUGUGUGUGUGUGUGGACGCUGAUGCGCUAAUGUGACCAUUUUUAGGAGGAGUGUGAGUCAUUAAUCUGAAUUGUGUGAGGGAAAUGAUGCCGGCGGCUUUCGCUCGGGUUCAGGUCUGAUGAGACGCGUGUUGAGAAAAUGACCAGAUUCCCACAGCCCAGUGUAGAGCUGAAGAAUCAGCUUUUAGCAAAUCCAUGUGAACAAAUCAUAUAUUUUACUCAUCUUAAUGUGGCAUUGGAUUAAUAUUACGUGUAGAUACACAUCUAACCUUUAAUAAAACGCAACAUCCUAGAAUUUACAUUGGAUAGAUUUUUUUUUUAAAAUUGCACGUAUAGAUGCUGACAGGUUCAAACAACAUGCUCUGUUAUAAGUGACUUGACCCGUAAGCGAAAUUAGUUAAUAUGACUACAUGUCCGCAGAAUGAUUGAUUUUCUUCACAGACAGUUAAUAUUUGGUCCCUUCCCGCUUUUAUGGCUGACUGAGCCGUCGUUGGAGCAGAAUCUCAGCAUGUGAGAUGUAGAAGAUCAACAGAAGGAUGUCGGUGACAUGAACGCACCGACAGGACAGCGCGGCGUUGAACAUGGAUUUCUGUUGUUUCAGCUACUACGUUGCCUCGAAUUGAUUCAUCGCUGCCUGGGACUCUGGAUGUCUGCGGCUGAUAAAAAGGUCAUUUUCUGUACAGAUGGUGUUGGUGAGCAGAAAGAUGACGAGAACCAACAGGGCUAUGAAAUCACACACCCGGUGAAAUAUGUGCAAGGUUAUGAUCUGCCAAAACGACGGCUGAAUUACUGUUGUUGCACAACAUGCCACAAACGGAUCAAGUCCCACUGCAAAGCUGCAGCUGUUAAUGUAAGUUCACUCUUCAUUCACGUAUUUUGCGGAAAGCCAUCUUAACUUUUCCACGAAUCUGAACCAAUCACCUCGUCUUUUUCUCUAUUUCCUCCGUUUCUGACUCAACUGAAUUUUGACCAAUCCGCUUGGUUCAUUUCUAAUUUAACUUCCUGUUUCACGACGUGUCUUGCUACAUGUUCAAAGCUUGUGUCACGCUAAAUUCUAACAUUUGCCUUUUUUUUUUUUACUUUUUACCAAAACAGUUUUAAGAUGUUCAUGUAGGAUUUGCUUAUCCUGUAAAUAGUUCAUGAAAUUCUUCAUGUAGGAUUUGCUUAUCCUGUAAAUAGUUCAUGAAAUUCUUCAUUUGCACUUUGACCUCUCUUCAGGACAUGCAUUUAAUUUUAUACAGGUGUUAUUUCAAAAGGUGCUCAAAAACAUUAUUAGUGCUUUAGAUACUGACUACGUUAAGGCUUUAUCUUUUUCAGGAAUGAUAUUAUGAGCAGCGAUUUCAAUGAUUUUGUAAGUUAUGCUAUGCCAGAAAUGAAGCUUUAAAAAAAUGUUGCAACUUUUUGAAAAUGGUGCCACAAAAUCAUUCAUU